rnacentral:miRNA from 1 species
UCCCUUCCGAUUGAUGAGGUUGUUAUACCUCAUUGAUUGGAAGGGAUUCCUUCCAAUCAAUGAGAUGUAACAAUCUCAUCAAACGGAAGGGA